UUUGAUGUUUCUCUUUCAGCCUUAAAAAACAGAGGUUUGCUGCUUGCUGGUCCCACUUCUCCUUGGAGAUAAGGAUUCUUUGUACUCUGUUGAUAAGGAACCUUUGGGACCAACACCGUCAAUUGUUCUGCAUGGAGAUGCCUUGGAGCCCAGUGAUAUUGAGAUAUGGUGUGAUGGCAUCCAGAUAUGCAGGCCCUCCGGAAUCUUGCAGGCGUUUGCCUGUACAUUUGCCGCAUUCUAUGUAUAUGGCUUGGAGUAUCCAAAACAGGGACGCACCACACUGUUGUUUUUGCAACAGGUUAUUGGGGAAAUUGGCAUGGAAACUGCCAUGCCUUCCAAAAUACAAAAGUUCAUUAACCUUAUUCAUUAGAAUAAAUGAUAAUGAAGACCUCAUGUGCAGAAUAUGCACUCUGAUGAACCUGUGUGUGAUAACUUACUUUUUCGGAUGUAGAAAUUUUUGCACAAUGUAUGAAAACCCAUCCUCUGUAUUUGCAAAAAGGGGAGGAGGUGACAUGGUCAAAACAUUAACACCUUUUACAUUAAAAUGAUCAGUGAAACAAUGCCAUAAUAAUAGUGCAUAUGUCAAUUUGAAUAACAAGGGAAUAUUUUGACAGAAUGUGGGCAAUUGAUGAGAGUUUUAUGAACAUAAUGAACUUCUCAUAACUUGAAUAGUUUGAUCUUCAAAUUACUGAUGCUACUCCUUAUUUGAAAAGUUGAAAAAAUAUUAAGCUUUAAUUUUGUCAAUACCAAAGAUAUUGUUUGUAAAAACUACUGUUACCAAAUAAGAUAAAAAUAGGCUUUUAGUCUUUUUUAUUUUUUGAGAAACAAUGAUUUGCAUGAGUUUUUUCUUGUUUUAAAUAUGUUAUGCUGUUAUGCGCCAAAAUUUCAAUUUCUGAAAGUUAGCAAUAAUGAUGGUUUAUUUAGGCAGUUUCUAUGAUUCUAUCAAAAUAAAACCUACCCUGUAAGUAUAGUACUCUAUCUUAAAAGCAUUAGUGGGAAAAUAUGUAGAUCAGAGUUCAUUUUUAAGUCCAAAGAACGUUUGAAAAAGCAACAUAUUUUUCCUAAAACCUUUUCAGUAUAUGUACUUGAAUAAUACAUGUACAUGUAAAUGACAUUGUGACAAGCACUUAUUAGGUCAAAUUGUGCAGAGUAUGUACAUGUAUCUAAUUGUUCUGUGUGUAUUGAUUUGUGUAAAAUUUGCAUUUCAUGUUUUUUGCCCACAGUUGCUGGGUAUAUUGUAUGGUGGCCCUGAAGGGAAUCGCAUAUAGACCAAAUCGCGAAUAUUCACGACGAAAUUGGCGA